UCUCCCUCCUUAUCUACCCUAAAGACAGCAGAUACAUGAAGGCAGGAUAUCCUCUUAUACUUCUGCAUUUAGUAGGUCCUCAAAUCUUUAAAUAGAGAAAGAAAAUUUAUCUGAGGCAGCAUUGUCCGGGAACUAAAAAAGAUCAUUGACCCAAUAAACUGGAGUAAUUACAUUCAUUGGAGUCUAUUAGAUGCCAGACAUGUGUGGUAAUGACUCAAUUCAGCUCUCAAAGUGAAGGCACAAAUGGUCAGUCGACUUGUAAAGAUCAAUUAUAUGGUGGGCUGAAGCAAACAUGUCAACUGAAGGUAAUGACCUUUCUUGCAAAGCUGAUGAUGGAGUUUGUGAAGAAGAGUCAUG
rnacentral:lncRNA from 1 species